AUUGAACGCUGGCGGCAGGCCUAACACAUGCAAGUCGAGCGAGCGGCGGACGGGUGAGUAAUGUCUGGGAAACUGCCCGAUGGAGGGGGAUAACUACUGGAAACGGUAGCUAAUACCGCAUACCAUCAGAUGUGCCCAGUUGGGAUUAGCUAGUAGGUGGGGUAAUGGCUCACCUAGGCGACGAUCCCUAGCUGGUCUGAGAGGAUGACCAGACACACUGGAACGAGGACAGGGUCCAGACUCCUACGGUAGACACCAGUGGGGAAUAUGGUACAAUGGGCGCAAGCCUUAUACAGCCAUGCCGCGUGUAUGAAGAAGGCCAUCGGGUUGUAAAGUACUUUCAGCGGGGAGGCGUUACCCACAGAAGAAGCACCGGCUAACUCCGUGCCAGCAGCCGCGGUAAUUC
rnacentral:rRNA from 1 species